rnacentral:rRNA from 1 species
AAUGAACGCUGGCGGCGCGCCUAAUACAUGCAAGUCGAGCGAGAAGACGUAGCAAUACGUUUGUAAAGCGGCAAACGGGUGAGGAAUACAUGGGUAACCUACCCUCGAGUGGGGAAUAACUAGCCGAAAGGUUAGCUAAUACCGCGUACGCUCCUUGGACUUCGGUUCAGGGAGGAAAGCGAUACCGUGGGUAUCGCGCUCUUGGUUGGGCUCAUGUCCUAUCAGCUUGUUGGUGAGGUAACGGCUCACCAAGGCUUCGACGGGUAGCUGGUCUGAGAGGACGAUCAGCCACACUGGCACUGCGACACGGGCCAGACUCCUACGGGAGGCAGCAGUAAGGAAUAUUGCGCAAUGGGCGAAAGCCUGACGCAGCGACGCCGCGUGGGGGAGUGAA